GACGAACGCUGGCGGCGUGCUUAACACAUGCAAGUCGAACGGAAAGGCCCUGCUUUUGUGGGGUUCUCGAGUGGCGAACGGGGGAGUAACACGUGAGUAACCUGCCCUUGACUUUGGGAUAACUUCAGGAAACUGGGGCUAAUACCGGAUAGGAUCUCCUGCUGCAUGGUGGGGGUUGGAAAGUUUCGGCGGUUGGGGAUGGACUCGCGGCUUAUCAGCUUGUUGGUGGGGUAGUGGCUUACCAAGGCUUUGACGGGUAGCCGGCCUGAGAGGGUGACCGGCCACAUUGGGACUGAGAUACGGCCCAGACUCCUACGGGAGGCAGCAGUGGGGAAUAUUGCACAAUGGGAGGAAGCCUGAUGCAGAAACGCCGCGUGCGGGAUGACGGCCUUCGGGUUGUAAACCGCUUUCGCCUGUGACGAAGCGUGAGUGACGGUAAUGGGUAAAGAAGCACCGGCUAACUACGUG
rnacentral:rRNA from 1 species